GAGGUUCUGGCUGACCUGGAUGCUGCAGCUAUAAAUGGAGGCAGCUCUCUGCUCCCACAGAAAGCCAUCCUCUGAAGGGGUGGCUGUGCAGGUGGGUUCCUGGUUCCCUGUGCCCUCCUGCUGCCGUGCUCCUGGUCUGAUGCUGUGGAUGCUGUCUGCCAGACACUGGACACUGCUGCAGGCAGACUCUUGGGCUGCCUUUGAAGAAGGCAAACUCACCAGUCCUUAACCAGCCAGCAAAGAUAUUCAAACCCACAUUGAAGAAAUAAGCCUAAAAGUUCUCUCAGAGAAGAUACACUAUAGAAAGAGUAAGAUGGAUGCUCUACAUAAAUUGAAGAUUUUGGUGAUGUUUUUGUCUCUGGCUACUUUCAUGAUCAUGGUGAUAAUGAAUGCUGGAAAUGCCACUGGGAUUUUCAAAGGUCUGUUCAGGACAACCCCUGGAAACAUCUCAGCCAAGUACAGCACAGAUUUCACACCAGCUGGCUGGACUUUCCUCAUCUGGAAUGUCAUCUACGCCUGGCAGCUCGCCUGGCUUCUCUACGCCUUGUCAGGGAUCUGCAGAAGGAAUGAACUUGGAUAUGUCUUCAUGAAGCCAGACUUGCUGCCAAUACCUUUUUAUGUGGCGUGGUGUCUGAAUAAUGGCCUCAAUGUUGGAUGGCUCUUUCUGUGGGACCGAGAAUACCUCCUUCCAGCCCUGGUGUUCCUGGCAGUCCUGUCCCUUACCACAUGUGCCUGCCUGUUUGUCUCCCACCGAGCCUUGAGCAUCCAUUCCUCGUGGUUUGUGAAGGCUAACAAGGCUGAGCUCUGGCUCAUCCGCAUUCUGGUGCAGAACGGGCUGGCUCUGUACCUGACGUGGACCAGCAUCGCCACGCUGCUCAACUUCGCCGUGGUGCUCAUCCACAAGUGGAACGUGCCCAGCGAGAAAGCGACCACUGCUUCCCUGAGCAUCCUGGCUCUCAGCCUGGUGAUAUGGUUUUAUCUAGAAAAUUACCUUCUCGACAAGUACGUCCGCUAUAACCUCACAGUCUACCCCGUGGUCAUAGCAGCUCUGACAGGCAGCGCCUGUGGGAACGGCUCCUUCUCAUCCCCACUGACCAACCACGUUUUCAUAGUUGUUCUGCUGGCACUGACGUGUUUGAUCUUUGCUGUUCGGCUGGGACUGGUUGUGUGGAGACACUGGAAGAGACCACUGGAAGCAUGAGAACCCUGAGGCCCAUCAGGCACAGUGACCUGAGACCUCUGGCACAUUGUGGGUGAUGCUUGAAAGGGAGAAAAAAGAAUUGGGCAUGUGCUGGCUCUUGUUCCUGUAUCCAUUCCCUUCUGCAUUUCUCUCUUAUUCUCUGUUCCAAAUGCAGAUGUCUUGUGUCCGCAAAUGUGUCUUGCUCCCACAUUCUCUCAGAUCAGUUACUCACAACCCUGUCUUGAGUUCCUUUGGUUUUAUCCUGGAAAAGUUCAGGAAAAGCAGCCCUGUGCAGCUUUGUGAUGCCUGGGCUGUGGCUCUCUUCUCCUGCCAGUGCAAGCAGGGCUGCCAACAGGCACCCAGCAGGCCUGCACACACAGUUUUUCCUGUUUUUCCCUUGGUAUCUCACUUUCUUGGAAGUGCAGACCCAAGUGACCUGUCCCUGGGGUUCCAGGUGGGAGAGCUGUCAUUCAUUGCCUUGGCCAUCAGGGCUGAGCAUCCUCAAGCCCUGGUGCUGUCAGCAGAUCUCCUGCAGGCAGCCACUGCUCCUUUCCUGCUUCUCUGCAGCAUGACAGGGGCAGAGACUAGGAUUUGACAUCUGCCUUUGCAGUGUCAGCUCUGCAGUUUGAUGUUCAAGGGGGCAGGGGGAGGGACUGAAGGUUUCUGACACAAAGGUGUUGGUGUUGCCUUUCCCUGAGCUGGGCACAGCUUGGGCUGGCUGGAUGUCUCUCACUGGGGGAGUUUGUGGCUACUCUGGAAGGAGCUCAGAUGUACAGAUGAGCUGGUCCCUGAUCUGGGGUGAAGCCUGAUGCUUCAAAGGAAGCCUGUUAAAAAAAAAAUAAAUAAAAAUUGAACAGGUAGAGCAAGUUCAUCCUGGAUCAGUGCCUUCUCAUGUGGCUUCACCACUUCUGAGUUGGGAUUAGGAAGCCUAAAACUGGAUUGACUGAAUUUUUGGACCACUGCCUUUCCUUCCUGUGCCUAAUUGAGAGCUGGUGGUGCCUCACAGGUGUCUGGAAAGUCUUGGCACCAGGAAGGUGCUUUCAGUGCAUCUUGCAGUAUUAUUAACAAAGCUAAAUUCUAAAAUAACAUGUGCUGUUGUUUACAUUUAGCAAAAAGCAAAAGCAGUGUAAUGCAUCUCCCCUCAUCAUUCUGGUGUGUUGUUUUUUUUUUUUUUUUCUAUUUUUUAAUUUUAAAAUAAGUCAGCUCAUUCUAUCACUCUGCAACUAACUCUGUAAAUCAUCUAAAGCAGCUGUCCUGGCCCCUUCCUCACUCAUGCCCAGGGCUCCAGAGUGACUCUGGUCCCUUGCUGGAAUCUCAUGGAGGUGAAGAGUUGGAGGAUGUAGAUUGCUAGGUAUGAUUUAAACUCCUUUGACCAGCACACUGUUCAUUAAGUUUCUAUUUUAUAGGCUCUGCCUCCCAAGAUCCCAGCUAAUAAAUUCCCAGCAGCCUCUCCCUAAGCUGCCUUCUUUAAUACAGGGGAAUUAAAGCCACUGGCAGGGGGAUUAAGGGGUCCAGGCAAGGUGAGAAGCUGCUGUGAGGCUGUGCAGCAGUUCAUGCAUGGCAGGGUUUUGCAGCCUCCCUCUUGCAGCAAGAGCACUGCAAAGAGCUCCUGGGCCAGGGCAGCUGCACUUUCCCAUUAAAAAAUGCCUUAUCAG
ensembl:lncRNA